UGGAUCUUAUUAAAAUACAGAUCCUGCUUCAGUAGGUCUGGGAUUCUGCAUUUCUAACAAGCACCCUGAUGGUGC
rnacentral:miRNA from 1 species